CCUACGGGGGGCAGCAGUGGGGAAUAUUGCACAAUGGGGGAAACCCUGAUGCAGCGACGCCGCGUGGGUGAAGAAGUAUUUCGGUAUGUAAAGCUCUAUCAGCAGGGAAGAAAAUGACGGUACCUGACUAAGAAGCCCCGGCUAACUACGUGCCAGCAGCCGCGGUAAUACGUAGGGGGCAAGCGUUAUCCGGAUUUACUGGGUGUAAAGGGAGCGUAGACGGCGUGCCAAGUCUGAUGUGAAAGGCCGGGGCUCAACCCCGGGACUGCAUUGGAAACUGGCAUGCUGGAGUGCAGGAGGGGUAAGCGGAAUUCCUAGUGUAGCGGUGAAAUGCGUAGAUAUUAGGAGGAACACCGGUGGCGAAGGCGGCUUGCUGGACUGUAACUGACGUUGAGGCUCGAAAGCGUGGGGAGCAAACAGGAUUAGAUACCCGAGUAGUC
rnacentral:rRNA from 1 species